CGAGGCAGUUUUAAGCUUGUAGUGAUAGCAAGUGAGAGUUCGUAUUGUCACUUCUUUUGGCCAUACUAAGGUCCCUCUGUAGUGAGAACUGAUUGUUUCUACGCCACUGAUUUGCAAUUAUAGUGUGUCCUAUGGUGUCUUUGAGGAGUACACACAGCGAGACAUUAAUCGGUCGUGAUCUUGUUGUCACGGAGGACCUGUGGUGGGCGGGCGAGCGCGUGGUCAUCCCUUCAUAUGGUGGUUCAAGUUUUGGUGUAUAGGACGAAAGCUAAGAUGUGAUACGAGAAUAAUUUUCUACGUAAAGGACAGGUUCUGUUGCUUUGGACUCUUCGUUAUCGCGUUGGAUUCCAAUGGAUAACCUCGCCUUUGAACUUCAAGUGGGUGAUGAAUCAGCGCCGUCCGUGACAAGUCCAGUAGUGACAAUCACCCCGGGACAAUGCCCAGGGUGUAGGGUCGGUCGGUUACAAAAGGAAUACACCAGAACCGGGAUCGCGCUGGCAUUUGGCUGCUUCCCCUGUGGCAUUGCCUGUUGCCACUUCAUGAGGAAGAGCCGCUGUAAUGUGUGCAAAGCUCUCUUUUAAAUGCAACCCUUUGCAAUGAGAAUCCGCCUGCCAAUUGUGGUAAAAUUGAGGGGGUUGGGGUAAAAAAACAAACAAAAAAAAACCAGGUAAAUCUGUGUAUUUGUGCGUUUGUUUUACAUAGAUUAUUUUGGAAUUCUCAAUAGACUUGUAAGAUUAUAUAUUAAAAUAGUUUUCUAAUUA
rnacentral:misc_RNA from 1 species